CAAAUCUAAGCCUUUCUAAUACAUCUUUAACUGAGUAUAUCCGGUGCAGAAUUUUAAUAGAUGCCUCUUUUAUUUUGUUAUGGGACAGUUAAAUAACGCUAGAGACUAAACCUAAACAUUAAGUUCGAUGUUCUCGCCUAGCUGUUAAUCUCCCGAAGUUAAAGUGGAAUUAAAAAGCUUUUGCGACUCUUGACGGAGAAAGCCCUGUGUGCCGUAGCAUCGCAGCCAGCUAGCUAGUUAGGCUAAUCCUCCGGUUACCAACAGCCAAGGCACAAGACUGGAAAGGACAGCGGCGAUUUGGCGUGACAGCCCCAACCUCCUUGGGGCAUACAUUGAUGUUAACAUCGUUGAUUUUAUGUAUAGCCACCGAUUCUGGAUCUCGCCAGCAUUAAUGAUAGCCAGGGUUCCAUCUACCAAGACGUAUGGGAUGUCGGGAUGAGAGGAAGAUGGCAAACGGGGUUGGAAAACACAAGCUGCCUGUCAUUGGACCAACAGAGCCAUGGUCAGUGAGGGAGAAGCUGUGUUUGGCCACAUCUGUCAUGAAGAGCGGAGACCAGAACUGGGUAUCUGUCAGCCGAGCCAUCAAACCAUUUGCAGAACCUGGGCGCCCACCUGACUGGUUCUCUCAAAAGCACUGUGCCUCCAAGUACUCUGAGCUCCUGGAAACGACAGAGGCCCCAAAGAGGAAGCGUGGCGAGAAAGGUGAAGUGGUGGAGACAGUAGAGGAUGUGAUAGUACGCAGGCUGACUGCUGAGAGGAUCGACGAACUGAAGAAGUUGAUCAAAGAAACUCAGGAGAUGCACAGGAAGCUGAAAAAAGAGGCUGAACUGAUUCAAGCAGGACAUCUAGAUUCCAAACUAGAAGAGUUAUGGGAAGACAUUCUCCAGAAGAAGAAGCUGGAGGAGGAGGAAGCAGAACUGAAAAGAAAAAACACAGAUGCUGUGUAUCAGGCCAGACAGGUGGCAAAGAACACAUCUAAGCGAGUGCCCGGUAUCAUUAUGCAUUUGCCCUCAGACUGUAGCUCUCCAAGCCAGGAGUUCUCUCCAGGCGACCAACCCGAGUGCCUGACACCGGAUCUUACAUCUGCAAAGAAUGCUUCAGGAUCAGCCAGGUUAAUGACAUUCGCUGAGUCUUGUGGACUUGGUAGUGAGGCUGUUAGCCAUGGGUCUGUUCUAGAUGACCCCAACCAAAAGAAGCUUUUGGGCCAGAAAGCCACACCAGCACCGUCUCCACUCCUGUCAGAGCUGCUGAAGAAAGGCAGUAUCUUGGCCUCAAAUUCCAGAUUGAUUGGUGAGGGUGAGGUGUCCCCUGGCAAUAUGACAGGAGCACACGACAUGCAGAUGACUCCACCUCUCUCUCAGGCAACAGGUGCCCCAAUGCUGUCGCGCCUCCUAGAGGUAUGUCCCACCCAGUUUUCUGCACCGUUAGGUUUCAGUGCAGACUCUACCUCCAGUGCUCCUCUCUCCUCUGCUGCUUCGGUUCCUGUUGAUUCUACUGCCUCAGCAAGUACAGACGUGGAUGGGGUGGUACCAUCUGUCUCUGCAGAGGAUAAGGUGUCACAGCUCAGUGAAGAGGAUGUGACUGUGUCCUACAUGGGCGAUGAGCUGGACCUAAAGACAAUGGGGGACAUUAUCGCCAUCAUUGAGGACAAGGCAGAUGAGGCUGCAGAGGCACUGGAUGCAGCUGUAGUCGAGGCUGCUCUGUCCCUGUGUGAGGAGAACGGCCAUCCUCUGUCUGGCGCCUGGGAGGCUGGGCCUUUCCAAACUCCUGAGUCUCACCCCACAGUACUCACAGGGGUUUCACAGUCCUCGUCACUUCACUGUAGCCUGGAGGGGAAGACAGAAGUGUUUGAAGAUCAGGGUGGGACUUCAGCCUCACUCUCCUCUCUGUGCAACAGCCAAGAUAACUGUCUUGCAGCAUUCCCCAUGGGACUAAGAAGCCUUCCUCCCACCUCCUCAUCCUCAUGCAACUUAAAGCAUUUGGAGCACUGCCACACUGGAGCUCCUCCACAGCCUGAGGCAGCGAGAGAGCCAGGAGAGGUGGUAUACCCAAAAAGCCAAAUUUCAGUGGAUGUUACCCUCAAAUGUGAGAAUGAUAAGUGGGCACAGAAAAGACCUGAUAAACCUCAUGGAGACUCAGUAGUAGAAGAUAGCACACUGACGGAACGGAAUUCCAAGGAGAUGAAGGCGGAGGAUAGACUAAGUGUUGGAGGAAGAGAGAAUGCCUCAGGGACUAAAGUAGACAAUGAAGCUAAUGGGCCUGAAGUGUGUGGAGAAGAAGAGGGUGAUGAGGUGGAGGGAUUCUUGUCAGAGCCAGAUGGGGAGAUUGAGCUAGAACCCACGGCCAGCGAGAGCGAGGACGGAUACAGCCUCCACACGGCUUCCUCAUCUCUGCAGCUCCACACCACCGCAGACUCCAUCCCCAGCAGCCCUGCCUCAUCCCAGUUUUCUGUGUGCAGUGAGGACCUGGAAGCACUACAGGCUCACAAGAUCUGGAAGAAAGCGAUUAUGCUGGUGUGGCGUGCAGCAGCCAAUCACAGGUAUGCAAAUGUCUUCCUGCAGCCAGUAACAGAUGAAAUUGCACCUGGAUAUCACAGUAUUGUGCACAGGCCCAUGGACCUGGCCACCAUAAAAAAGAACAUUGAGACCGGUUUGAUACGGACCACCGCAGAGUUCCAGAGGGACAUCAUGCUGAUGUUUCAGAAUGCGGUCAUGUACAACAGCCUGGAUCAUGAUGUGUACCACAUGGCUCUUGAGAUGCAACGUGACGUCCUGGAGCAGAUCCAGCAGUUUUUAGCUACCCAGCUCAUCAUGGAAACAUCAGAGUCUGGUAUCAGCGCCAAGAGUCUGAGGGGCCGUGAGAGCACGCGCAAACAGGACUCCACUGACAAGGUGCUUCACUAGAAUUUUGACAAAAGCAGAGAGUACAGAAGAAGAGACAAGGGUGAGACAACAGGCUGACUUAAAGGAUGGAGGCACCAGAGGGCGCCGUUGUGCCAUAGAAGCUGACCUCAAGAUGAAGAAAUGAAGAGUAUGAAAAUUUUGUCAAGACUGUCUCUAAAUUGAAGUGAAAGGUGUGAUACCACAAGACUGUAAUGUGGAGAAGCUCAUUUCUUCUAAGACAGUUCUACAUACUGUGUAAUCUCAGAUUACAGCAGGGGGCAUUCAGAAAGGGAAGGUUAAACCUUUAGUAGACAUCGCUGCAGAUCACAAAGACUUGGGCUGCUCCAAAUUUUAGGUUGUGGAAAAUAAAAAGAGUUACUUCUAGUGUACAAAUGGUAAAUGGACUUAACCUGUAUAGUGCUUUUUUAUGAGCUGUGACUGAGCCCUGAAAUUGAGCCUACAUCAGGACCUGGUUGAACUCCUGAUUAGUUGUGGUUGAUAAAAAAAUAAAAAAUACACCAUGAUAGUGAUGAAAUACAAAAACCAGAAGCCAAAGAGUGAUUAACCUAGAAUUACUGAUAGUCCGAGCCCAAAAACUGAAUGAUUGGGGUGCACAUACUGUCAAAUAUUUUCAUUGCUGGUAUGAAAUAAUGAAAUAAUGAAAUAUUUUUGGUUAGUUUUCUAAUUUUAAAAACUUUCAAGUCACUUAAGUAUUGCAGUAUUGUUUGUGAUAAACUGAUUUUAUCUAUGUUACAUCUGUGAAACAUACCUACAUGCAUAUUCUGAGUCAUUGUCAAGGUUUCUGAGAAAAUGGCACAUUAAAGACCAUUUUGUGGACUUUAAGAUGUUAAAAGAAUAAAACUGUAUUAAGCAUCUUUAAUGUACAAUAGUACGUUAAAGAUACAUUUGCAAACGUUUUCCAGUGCCAAUUUAAAACACCACAGUAGUAGUGACUGCUGCAGGCUAACUGCUGUAUAAUCAACAAUGUUCAUGCAAAAGACCUUUGAGUGCAAGAAUCCCAGAUAAAAGGCCUGGUCUUGAUGUUAAUGUUUGUGUGGUAUGUCAGUUGGAAUGGGUUUUGUGUAGUUGUUUAGUAUUAAGUUGGCUUAAUAAAACUAAUUCAUAGCUUU